UACGUAGGUGGCGAGCGUUGUCCGGAUUUACUGGGCGUAAAGAGCGCGCAGGCGGUCGUAUAAGUCGCGUGUGAAAGCCCCCGGCUCAACUGGGGAGGGUCACGCGAUACUGUUCGACUCGAAGGCAGGAGAGGGAAGUGGAAUUCCCGGUGUAGUGGUGAAAUGCGUAGAUAUCGGGAGGAACACCAGUGGCGAAGGCGACUUCCUGGCCUGUUCUUGACGCUGAGGCGCGAAAGCUAGGGUAGCAAACGGG
rnacentral:rRNA from 2 species